AUAGGAGCUGUUACUGCAUCAAUGCCCCCUGGAGGUUGUGUAACAUUCUUGUGUAAUUUCGGCAAAGUAUAGAAAGUGGCAAUUUUAGGGUGUUGAAUAGCCAAAAAAGCAUGUUAUUUUUUGGUUAUCUGACCAGAACUUAAAUACCCAUCUAGGACAGACAAGAUAGUAUUCUGAAAUUGGGAAGUGGGGUCACUUCUGAGUUUCUUGUAAAAGGUGUUGUCAAGCAGUUGUCUAUGACACUCAUGUACAUAAGCUGUCCUAUCCAUGAGUACAACCGACCCACCCUUAUCAGCAGGACGAAUAAGGACUGACGUUCAUCAUUCACAAGUUUUUAUUUCUUGCAAAACUUCAGCUCUCUCUUUAAAUGUACCUAGCUAAUCUAUAAAUACUGUAGCUAGCUAGAUUUAGGGUGGCUAUAGCUUAUUGUAGGGUUGCUCGCUUAAUUUAGAGUGGCUAUAGCCUAUUGUAGGGUCCCUAGCUAGCAUAUUGUAUGUUUGCUAGCUAGCCUAUUCUAAGUGUAAUAGCUAGCCUAUUGUAGCGUCGCUAGGUUAAAACCCCCUAAGGUUGAUGUCCGUGCCCCAGUGGAAAAUAUCAUUAGAAUAAUACAAAAAUCCUCAUCAAAAUCUGUCAGUUUAAGUAUGUUUUAUUGCAUUUGGAUGCGUCUCAAUCCACCUCAUCAACCUAUGUCAUACUUUCACAUCCGUGGUGAAAGUUGACAGAGCUAGAGAGGUAUUUGUUAGACCAUUAGACAUCCUGAAAAUUGGUCUUCUCACAACAUCACCUGUGACCUGCAAACUAUUAUAACCCCUUGAUGGAACGCUGACACCGAUGAGACUCUCACAAACACGAAUGCUUUCUUCGUUUUGCUCUACAGCCCAUCUGCCAACUUCUGUCUGUAGCAUCCGAGCAGUUUGGGCUACACACUGAUAUGACACCUCUGUGGAAAGGUGAGACUCACACGGACAUUUCCGUUGUUUUGCUCUAGAAUGCUCACAAGACUCGUCUGAAGGUCCCCUCGUACCAGUUGAAAAAAUGAAUGGAAAUCUAUAUGGAGACUGUUUAGUGGCAAAAAUAAGGGGUUAAAUACAUGUAUUUUUUUUUACUGAUCAUUCUAAUAUAUCUCUCAGAUAUUGGACAGACACUUCAGAACAAACUACCUUUAGAUUUUUUAGGGGAGGGGGGGUACUAUCUGUUCCAUGUAGUGGAUCUGUUAUUCAAUGCAUUUGUAUGGGCUAAUAGCUAAAUAAAAAUGUUCAUCAAAUAAUUGUAAUACAGGGCUUAGACUAUUAUGGGUUAUUGUAGAGUGGCUAGCUAGCCUAUUGUAGGUAUCCUAGCAAGCCUAUUGUAGCUUCCCUAGCUAGCCUAUUUUAGGGUAACUAGGUUGAUGUAGAGUGGCUAGGUGGCCUAUUGUAGAGUGGCUAGGUAGCCUAUUGUAGAGUGGCUAGGUGGCCUAUUGUAGAGUGGCUAGGUGGCCUAUUGUAGAGUGGCUAGGUGGCCUAUUGUAGAGUGGCUAGGUGGCCUAUUGUAGAGUGGCUAGGUGGCCUAUUGUAGAGUGGCUAGGUGGCCUAUUGUAGAGUGGCUAGGUGGCCUAUUGUAGAGUGGCUAGGUGGCCUAUUGUAGAGUGGCUAGGUGGCCUAUUGUAGAGUGGCUAGGUGGCCUAUUGUAGAGUGGCUAGGUGGCCUAUUGUAGAGUGGCUAGGUGGCCUAUUGUAGAGUGGCUAGGUGGCCUAUUGUAGAGUGGCUAGGUGGCCUAUUGUAGAGUGGCUAGGUGGCCUAUUGUAGAGUGGCUAGGUGGCCUAUUGUAGAGUGGCUAGGUGGCCUAUUGUAGAGUGGCUAGGUGGCCUAUUGUAG